CCAGAUCCCUCACGCGGCAUUACCGCGCUGAACUCCCCCAGGGUAGGAAUACAGCAAGGGUAGGCGCGCUCUAAUGGGUGCGUGGGGGGUCCCUUAA
rnacentral:SRP_RNA from 1 species